UAGUUCGAUCCUGGCUCAGGAUGAACGCUAGCGACAGGCUUAACACAUGCAAGUCGAGGGGCAGCACAGGUAGCAAUACCGGGUGGCGACCGGCGCACGGGUGAGUAACGCGUAUGCAACUUGCCUAUCAGAGGGGGAUAACCCGGCGAAAGUCGGACUAAUACCGCAUGAAGCAGGGGCCCCGCAUGGGGAUAUUUGCUAAAGAUUCAUCGCUGAUAGAUAGGCAUGCGUUCCAUUAGGCAGUUGGCGGGGUAACGGCCCACCAAACCGACGAUGGAUAGGGGUUCUGAGAGGAAGGUCCCCCACAUUGGUACUGAGACACGGACCAAACUCCUACGGGAGGCAGCAGUGAGGAAUAUUGGUCAAUGGGCGUAAGCCUGAACCAGCCAAGUCGCGUGAGGGAUGAAGGUUCUAUGGAUCGUAAACCUCUUUUAUAAGGGAAUAAAGUGCGGGACGUGUCCCGUUUUGUAUGUACCUUAUGAAUAAGGAUCGGCUAACUCCGUGCCAGCAGCCGCGGUAAUACGGAGGAUCCGAGCGUUAUCCGGAUUUAUUGGGUUUAAAGGGUGCGUAGGCGGCCUUUUAAGUCAGCGGUGAAAGUCUGUGGCUCAACCAUAGAAUUGCCGUUGAAACUGGGGGGCUUGAGUAUGUUUGAGGCAGGCGGAAUGCGUGGUGUAGCGGUGAAAUGCUUAGAUAUCACGCAGAACCCCGAUUGCGAAGGCAGCCUGCCAAGCCAUGACUGACGCUGAUGCACGAAAGCGUGGGGAUCAAACAGGAUUAGAUACCCUGGUAGUCCACGCAGUAAACGAUGAUCACUAGCUGUUUGCGAUACAGUGUAAGCGGCACAGCGAAAGCGUUAAGUGAUCCACCUGGGGAGUACGCCGGCAACGGUGAAACUCAAAGGAAUUGACGGGGGCCCGCACAAGCGGAGGAACAUGUGGUUUAAUUCGAUGAUACGCGAGGAACCUUACCCGGGUUUGAACGCAUUCGGACCGAGGUGGAAACACCUUUUCUAGCAAUAGCCGUUUGCGAGGUGCUGCAUGGUUGUCGUCAGCUCGUGCCGUGAGGUGUCGGCUUAAGUGCCAUAACGAGCGCAACCCUUGCCACUAGUUACUAACAGGUAAAGCUGAGGACUCUGGUGGGACUGCCAGCGUAAGCUGCGAGGAAGGCGGGGAUGACGUCAAAUCAGCACGGCCCUUACAUCCGGGGCGACACACGUGUUACAAUGGCGUGGACAAAGGGAUGCCACCUGGCGACAGGGAGCGAAUCCCCAAACCACGUCUCAGUUCGGAUCGGAGUCUGCAACCCGACUCCGUGAAGCUGGAUUCGCUAGUAAUCGCGCAUCAGCCAUGGUGCGGUGAAUACGUUCCCGGGCCUUGUACACACCGCCCGUCAAGCCAUGGGAGCCGGGGGUACCUGAAGUCCGUAACCGCGAGGAUCGGCCUAGGGUAAAACUGGUGACUGGGGCUAAGUCGUAACAAGGUAUCC
rnacentral:rRNA from 1 species